GGGAAGUUCAUCCUGACAGUGAUAUAAGGUUUGGAGGACAGUGUGUGGGGCGGAGGGUGGACUUUAAACCAUCCCGAAUAGAGGGGACUCUGUUACUGUUUUGGCGGGGCGGAGAAUCAGAGGACCGAAAGAACCAAAGGAAAUGCAGCAAGCGGUUUGAAUCUGGAAGGCACUGCCUGAGACGGUGGUGGUGAAAUGCGCAACUGAAGCUUUAAAAGAGUGCAACACUAUUACCGUCACCUGAUUCUGCCGUGAGGUGUGUGUGUCAAAACAUCUCCUUCAGUGACAGGCCCCUGGUUACUUAGCCCUUAGACCAUUGUUUAAAUUACAGCUGCCGCCUGAGA